AGUGAACGCUGGCGGUAGGCCUAACACAUGCAAGUCGAACGGCAGCACAGUAAGAGCUUGCUCUUACGGGUGGCGAGUGGCGGACGGGUGAGGAAUACAUCGGAAUCUACUUUUUCGUGGGGGAUAACGUAGGGAAACUUACGCUAAUACCGCAUACGACCUACGGGUGAAAGCAGGGGAUCUUCGGACCUUGCGCGAUUGAAUGAGCCGAUGUGGGAUUAGCUAGUUGGCGGGGUAAAGGCCCACCAAGGCGACGAUCCGUAGCUGGUCUGAGAGGAGGAUCAGCCACACUGGAACUGAGACACGGUCCAGACUCCUACGGGAGGCAGCAGUGGGGAAUAUUGGACAAUGGGCGCAAGCCUGAUCCAGCCAUACCGCGUGGGUGAAGAAGGCCUUCGGGUUGUAAAGCCCUUUUGUUGGGAAAGAAAAGCAGCAGGUUAAUACCCCGCUGUUCUGACGGUACCCAAAGAAUAAGCACCGGCUAACUUCGUG
rnacentral:rRNA from 1 species